GUUCACUUGGUUGCGAUAGUUAAGUUGAUUUCCUAGAGACAUAUAUUUAUUGUUAUACCGUACAAUUGGUAUCAUAAAUAUUUUAUUUAUUACGUAUAAGGUCUUAAUAUACAUAUUUAUCGUGACACUGCUGACAUUAUUUACCAUAUAAGAGUAAACAACACCAGCUAUCAAGACAUUAAUACAGGGAUAUUCACACACAAAGCAGAUAUGAAGCUGACGUUUUUGAUGGUGUUUGGGAUGGUGAUGUGUAUUUCCCUUCUUUUCCCGGAAAGUGAAGCCCGACUGUCAGCCAGACUAAUGGCACUGAGACACGUCCGAAGACCCUGUGAAGUGAAGUGCUUGAGAUCUUACUACAGCUGCAGACGGACCUGUCAGAGAAGUCGUUGGUGUUUCUUCUCCUGUGUUUCCAGAUACAGAAGAUGUUCAUCGGCAAGGGCCUGCUGAAAAUGGGACACAGUGAACUCCGUAUCAUGUAUAUAAACAAUACAACAGAGGUACUCGUCAUUCCAACAUAUCUGCAAUACAGCUUACGCUAUUUAACAAAUGUUGAGGAAAAUGAAGAACUACCUAUGAACGUCGUUGCGAGUCGUCUCCUUACAUCACAUAGACAACGAAGAACCUUCACGCCAGUUCAGAUAAUGAACCAUGUAGUCUAGGAACUUUUGCAUGCAUUGACUUUCUUAUAAGGAAAAGGAGACAUUUGUGUGAUCGUUUCCAAUGUCUUGAUAAUUACCUACUACUUGAUUGAGGAGACAAUGAUACAAUACAUUUGGGACAAAACCGUUACAUUCAUUCUAUGUCCUCUUUUUCUUGGGAAGUAUUUGAUGUUGUUUGACUGUGUUUCAAAUGGCAUGUAUUCGUCAAUUACAAUAUAUAUUGCUUUAUUUUAAGCCGAUCCUGAGGGAACAUAUUACACAGUAGUUCUUUCGGUAGUGCGAUUAGCGAAUAAAAUCUAUGAAAAUAAAUUAUUCCAAUUGUA